rnacentral:rRNA from 1 species
UUAGCGGCGGACGGGUGAGUAACACGUGGAUAACCUGCCUGUAAGACUGGGAUAACUCCGGGAAACCGGGGCUAAUACCGGAUAUGAUUUUAGUUCGCAUGAACUGAAAUGGAAAGGUGGCUUUUAGCUACCACUUACAGAUGGAUCCGCGGCGCAUUAGCUAGUUGGUGAGGUAACGGCUCACCAAGGCGACGAUGCGUAGCCGACCUGAGAGGGUGAUCGGCCACACUGGGACUGAGACACGGCCCAGACUCCUACGGGAGGCAGCAGUAGGGAAUCUUCCGCAAUGGACGAAAGUCUGACGGAGCAACGCCGCGUGAGUGAUGAAGGUUUUCGGAUCGUAAAGCUCUGUUGUUAGGGAAGAACAAGUACCGUUCGAAUAGGGCGGUACCUUGACGGUACCUAACCAGAAAGCCACGGCUAACUACGUGCCAGCAGCCGCGGUAAUACGUAGGUGGCAAGCGUUGUCCGGAAUUAUUGGGCGUAAAGCGCGCGCAGGCGGUUUCUUAAGUCUGAUGUGAAAGCCCACGGCUCAACCGUGGAGGGUCAUUGGAAACUGGGAGACUUGAGUGCAGAAGAGGAGAGUGGAAUUCCACGUGUAGCGGUGAAAUGCGUAGAUAUGUGGAGGAACACCAGUGGCGAAGGCGACUCUCUGGUCUGUAACUGACGCUGAGGCGCGAAAGCGUGGGGAGCGAACAGGAUUAGAUACCCUGGUAGUCCACGCCGUAAACGAUGAGUGCUAAGUGUUAGAGGGUGGCCUAAUGACUAGGACUA